UGACUUUGGCAUAAUUCUGUCAAUUCCCUCAUAGAUGUAAUAAUGUAAGUUGACACGGAGCUCGGCAAAGAAACAGUGACAAUGAAGGGCUUUUUGGUAUUCCAGAGAUAGUCUUGUUACAUGUCUGAAGGAAUUGACAGUAUUAUGCCACAAGGC
rnacentral:pre_miRNA from 1 species